GGGGCUGACUGGAAUUGACAGGGAGUUUAAUUUCAUACUGGCGUGUCGAGUGGUGUGUAUAACACUCGUAAAUCUCAAUACAUAACUUUGUUUUUAAAUGGCGAGUCUAACUACGCCUUAGCUGCCUAAUUCUAGGAAUUAGUAGCUUUUACUCCCCGGUGUUGACGUCCGAUACACACACCGGCUGAGUAUCAAUUUUUCGGGUCUUUGCUCUAGAGUUGGUCUUUUCCUCUAGUGUGAAGUAUUGAUAAAGGCUAGGAAGCUUAUUGAGUGGGUUACUUUACUUUCAGGUUUCCGAAGAUUAAAAAGCAACUACACACGUAGAAGGUUUGAUAUUGGCUUGUUUGGACGAGGGUUCGAAUCCCUCCAGCUCCACUU
rnacentral:tmRNA from 1 species